UACGGAGGGAGCUAGCGUUGUUCGGAAUUACUGGGCGUAAAGCGCACGUAGGCGGCUUUGUAAGUUAGAGGUGAAAGCCCGGGGCUCAACCCCGGAAUUGCCUUUAAGACUGCAUCGCUUGAAUCCGGGAGAGGUGAGUGGAAUUCCGAGUGUAGAGGUGAAAUUCGUAGAUAUUCGCAAGAACACCAGUGGCGAAGGCGGCUCACUGGCCCGGAACUGACGCUGAGACGCGAAAGCGUGGGGAGCAAACAGG
rnacentral:rRNA from 1 species